CUUCUGGCUAUUAUAAAUAAGGCUGCUAUGAACAUAGUGGAGCAUGUGUCUUUGUUGUAUGUUGGAGCAUCUUUUGGGUAUAUGCCCAGGAGAGGUAUAGCUGGGUCCUCAGGUAGUAAAUGUCCAAUUUUCUGAGGAACCUCCAGACUGAUUUCCAGAGUGGUUGUACCAGUCUUCAAUCCCACCAACAAUGGAAGAGUGUUCCUCUUUCUCCACAUCCUCGCCAGCAUCUGCUGUCACCUGAGUUUUUGAUCUUAACCAUUCUGACUGGUGUGAGGUGGAAUCUCAGGGUUGUUUUGAUUUACAUUUCCCUGAUGACGAAGGAUGUUGAACAUUUCUUUAGGUGCUUUUUGGCCAUUUGAUAAUCAUCAGCUGAGAAUGUUUUGUUUUACUCUGUACCCCAUUUUUUAAUAGGUUAUUUAGCUCUCUAGAGUCUAACUUCUUGAGUUCUUUGUAUAUUUUGGAUAUUAGCCCUCUAUCAGAUUUAGUGAAAACUAUACUCACAAUAAAAGAACUUCUGGGGGAAUCACCAUCCCUGACUUCAAGCAGUAUUACAGAGCAAUAGUGAUAAAAAAAAAAAAAAA
rnacentral:lncRNA from 1 species